AAGGUGUGUGGGUUGCCACUCGGACCGGCCUUUUUUAUCUUCUCUGGUUGGUGGCUAUGGGUAUAGAUACAUGGAGCUCUGGCCAUGGAGGCUAUUUAGUGACUAGAUACAUGAGGCGACAACGAGGCUUGCCAUGUCCAGGGAAACAUGACAUUCAGGUCAACAAGGAGCACGGUAUGUUCAUUCUGAUGGCAAAAGAGAUGGAUCCCUGAUUUAUUAAACUAAAUGUGUGUACUCUUAUAUAGAUUAAGAGUUGCAACUAUAAAUUCUGGUGGGCUUCUAUUUCUCCGUUGAUGGA